GAUACUGAUUCUGCCUCGGAUUCGGAUUCGGAUUCGGCUUCGGAUUCAGAAUCGGUAUCUCGGGGAUGCAGAGCGACGAACUGGCGAGCCUCUGUCGGCGCUGGUUGUUCAGCAUUCAAUUUAAAAUCGUUUAGCGCGUAUUCUGCCGGAAUCGUUGCUCCUAACUAAUUGAAUUGAGCGAAUUUAAAUAUUUUAAAGAAAUUGUGUGGCGGAGAAGGAAAACAACUCUUUUAGUCACACACCCGAUACGAAAGGUAAACAGAGACCAUAAAUGAUUUCGCAAAAAUGUUCUCGAUAAGGUUUUUAUGGACUUCUGAUAUGGGAAUGUAGUUCUUUGAGCAACAACGUAAAAGCACAAGGUAAUUAUGUCAACUCUAAUGAGAAAUACCUUUUAUCCCUUGUUAUAAAAACCGAAGCGAAUCGUGAAAGUAUAUGCCAAACAAAUAAUCAGUGAAUCUAUUUUUAAAUAAUUUUCGAAAACAUGCCACUUGCCGAGAUUUUUAUUAUAAUUCGUACACUAACCUCUGACAGGGCUUAUCAGUCGACUAGUCGGCUAGUCGGAAAGUUUUACCAGGUCAUCAGACACCUUGGGAUCAGCACGAUUUAGUCUGUUGUAAUAUGGAUUGGCUUUUGAAUCACCCAGCAACCCACUCAUCAUCACUGCGAUAAGAGAUAACAGAUUGGCCAAGCAGAUCCUAGUCGCACCCAUAAGUACUUAACCUAAUAAUGAGCUCUUAAGCAAAACAAUAAGCCAACGAUGGUGUAGAGUAGGAAAAUAAAAUCAACACUGAUAAGGAUGCAACAUUAAAGAGCUUAUCACUUCAUGGGGGGCACAUAUUUGUCGUUUGCUCAGCCGCAGUGACGAUGAUGGCAAUUGCAUAGUUCUAUUCCGGUAAACAACUUGAAUGGCAUUACGCAAAACUGCAAUCCGUAUCAGAUGCAAAUGCAUUCGAAUGAUUCGAAUACCCAGACAGCUCAAAAAAUUACAGCUAAGUUGCUCAAGGAAAAUACACUACUGCGUCGCCUAUAGACACUUGCUGUUUUCAGCAAUUAAUCAAUUUGAGAAUCGGAAGAUGGUUCAGAAAUAUAUGUUGCUAAGGUCCCUUUUCAAUUUCACUAAUCAAACGUAGGCUGAAAUUGAAUCAAAACACGAUUGCGUGAGAACUAUAUUUCACUGGAAACGAAGCCGAGGUUUGAAUACUCUGACUAAUCAUAUUUAAAGUGCCUGAACAGCCCAAAUAAUGAAAUGUAAAGACCAAAUUCGAAACAUUUGCUGCAGAAGACCAUGAAAAACUGACCUCUGCACAAGAUGCAGGCAACCAAAAAGAUUCGAGAUUUGAGACUCGGGCUCCGAAUUUUGUAUCUGUUGGUGGCCGCGUCCCAAGAAGCAUGAAGGUAUCUUCCUAUGUUCGAUUUGCGACCGACUGUCCCAUUUUCCCGGCUUGUGCAGUACAACAAACCCAUUAAGAUGUUGUUUUUAACACAGGAUUCUCCGAGAAGAGAUUGUCAGGCGAGUAAACAAGAAAUUCAUUUCACAUUUAGGUUUAUUUCAGAGUAUAUUUAUUAGCACUGAUUUUGAGAUUUAUUAUUUUCCAUGAUUUGUAAGAUUUGUUUGCGAUUUUACUUUUCAAUUUACUUGUUUAGCUAAUUGCAGUGCUGUCAUCAAUAAUAAUUGGCUAGUCGCAUUAAUUGCCAAGUGUAGUGUUUCUUCUAUACUUUUCUUCACAAUACUUUUUGCGCUGGCCGAUUCUGUUUUUAUAAUUUAAAGGAAGGGUUUUCUAAUUUCCGAUUUAUAUGCGUGAAAGUAUCAAUAAAAUGGCAACAGAGAUUGAAGCAAGCUGACCAAUUGUAAAAACCUCUUUUCAAUCUAACUCAUUGGCGAUUGGCCUGAGUUUUAAUUAUCUCUUUGAACCGCCUUACUUUUAUUGCAAAUACAAACAGUACACUCAAAAAUACACAAAGUAGACACAAACUAGAUUUGAACUAAUCAAUAGAGAAACUAAACUGAUAGGACGAAACAAAAAAGGACGAAACAAAAAAAGUACCAAAUCAAAUACAAAGUACAUUCAGUUGGGAAAACACAAUAAAAUAAACAGCGUUUUCGGAAUAUUUCAAAUGGAGAAAUGGUUUGUGGAAACCUCCAGAUAAAUUCACACCUCCACGUGUCGAGGCCACAAAAUCCAGCCGACUUUGUUUGCAAACGGAGAACUAAAAUAAGUAUUUCGAAAAUGCUUCAAAACCUACAAGCGAACUGAGUAAUGUUGGAUAUCUAAUGGGUAAUAUAAUUUUCUUGAUUUAAGGCAUUUGCGGGAUUUAAAUGUUUCGACGUAUUCGUGACAGAGGAUCGCGGGCUCUACGAGUUCGGAGGUUGACAGUAUCCACUAGAGACCCGAAUAGAUGGUCUUUUCAUAUCCUCUGCUCGGUUAUUCUGGUUCUGGGACGGUUUUUCGCAAUGAAAAAGGCACGAAUGUGUUCCGUAGGCUCAAACAUUUCGUUUUUUUUUUUGUAUGUUAUGCGACUGGCCCCUACUCUUUGAGAAUUUCGGGGCAACAGCUAAAUUACUUGUAUCAUUAAUUUUACGAAUUUUAAACUGGUUUUUGAUUGUUAGUUUUUUUUUAUCAUUUUUUUUUUUUUUUGGUUUUUUGCUGGUGUUAUUAAGGUGUAAAAAACGCUUACAAACAAUUACCCAAAAAUAAACUUCAACUGAGGUACAUUUUCCAAAAAAAUAACAAUUAUCUUGGAACACGGCACGCUUGCGAUGUGAAUCCGGUUUUUCGAACAGCCGGAUGCCCAAAAAUAAAGCGGAAAUUGGCGUUCGACAUCGCAGGCGUGCCGCCUCUGAAUUUACUGAUUUUGUUAUUCGUUUUUAAAAGGUGUUUUUAUCAUCAUUUUUUCGUAAGUAAUAACGGUUGAUUUUCUUUUGUUUUCGUUGGUGGCACUGUUUAGAGGCGAGCUUUUCAAAAGCUAUAUUAAGGACUUGCGACGAGACGAGUGAGACACAUGCGGUGAUUAUGCGCUGCCGGCCGUCGGAUCCACGGACUCCUCCAUUCCGGUGGAAUGGAUUAUCCUUGUGGCCACGGCCGGGGUCUUAAAG